rnacentral:rRNA from 1 species
AGCACUAAGAUAAGAGAGAAAUAAGAAGAAUGAUAGAGGAAGUCAAAGAUGACUUUGAUUACUUUGCGAGUCAUAUGGGCACGUAUGCAACCUACCUUAAGCAGGGGGAUAGCCCAUGGAAACGUGGAUUAAUACCCCAUAAUAUCAAUAUAUCGCAUGAUAAAUUGAUUAAAAUUUCGGUGGCAUAAGAUGGGCAUGCGUAGGAUUAGUUAGUUGGUAAGGUAACGGCUUACCAAGGCAUCGAUCCUUAGGGGUUCUGAGAGGAUUACCCCCCACACUGGGACUGAGACACGGCCCAGACUCCUACGGGAGGCAGCAGUGAGGAAUAUUGGUCAAUGGGCGGAAGCCUGAACCAGCCAUCCCGCGUGCAGGAAGACGGCCCUACGGGUUGUAAACUGCUUUUCUAUGCCAAGAAACGUUCCUACGAGUAGGGAUUUGCCGGUAGCAUAGGAAUAAGCAUCGGCUAACUCCGUGCCAGCAGCCGCGGUAAUACGGAGGAUGCAAGCGUUAUCCGGAUUCAUUGGGUUUAAAGGGUGCGCAGGCGGGUUUUUAAGUCAGUGGUGAAAUACUGCCGCUUAACGGUAGAAUUGCCAUUGAUACUGAAGAUCUUGAGUAUGGAUGAGGUAGGCGGAAUGUGUUGUGUAGCGGUGAAAUGCAUAGAUAUGACACAGAACACCGAUUGCGGAGGCAGCUUACUAAGCCAUCACUGACGCUGAGGCACGAAAGCGUGGGUAGCGAACAGGAUUAGAUACCCUGGUAGUCCACGCUGUAAACGAUGUUCACUCGCUGUUUGCGAUAUACCGUAAGCGGCUUAGCGAAAGCAUUAAGUGAACCACCUGGGGAGUACGAUCGCAAGGUUGAAACUCAAAGGAAUUGACGGGGGCCCGCACAAGCGGAGGAACAUGUGGUUUAAUUCGAUGAUACGCGAGGAACCUUACCUGGGCUUAAAU